CAGUCGCCGCGGUAAUACGUAGGUGGCGAGCGUUGUCCGGAUUUAUUGGGCGUAAAGGGAGUGUAGGCGGUCUUUUAAGUCUGAUGUGAAAGCCCACGGCUCAACCGUGGAGGGUCAUUGGAAACUGGGAGACUUGAGUGCAGAAGAGGAGAGCGGAAUUCCAUGUGUAGCGGUGAAAUGCGUAGAUAUAUGGAGGAACACCAGUGGCGAAGGCGGCUCUCUGGUCUGUAACUGACGCUGAGGCUCGAAAGCGUGGGGAGCAAACAGGAUUAGAUACCCCCGUAGUCCCUGUCUCUUAUAC
rnacentral:rRNA from 1 species